CUGCUUCAGGAGGAAGAGGUAGAUCCUGACAACAGUAGAAAGGUGCAGAGGCUGCUUCAAGGCACAGGAGGAGAGUGUGCCAAAGGCUUUGGAAGCAGGUGCCUGUGAAUGCACAAGCAUGUAGAAACCUGGGAUACUACAGCCACUGGGAGUUUUUCAUAAGCAGGUUCUUAGAGAGCUGCCUCUUGUUGCAGUGUCUUCCUCCUCCCCACUCUGCUAGGGUCUGAUAGAAGGUCAACUGAACCACAGCCCUCUGGAGGCCCUGGGGCAAGAAUCAGAACCUGAUCCUGGAACUGAAAUGGACUUUUUAUGAGCAAUUAUUCAUCCUUGUUGAUACAAGCUGUAAGGUGAAAGUGUGCAUUCCAGAGAGUAAAUUCACAGAAAAUAGAAGUAUAUAACCUGU